GCGUGUUGCGUAGCGUUCAACCCUCCAUAGCGUGUAGCGAAAUAGCAUAGCGUGUAGCGUAAGCUACACAAUACUUCUAUUUUUUAAUUAAAAAAAGAAAAGAAAAAUAUGAUAACUAUUAAAUAGUAAGAAAAAAGCAAAAUAUAUAAAUGUCAUAUUCUUCAAAAAAAACAUACAUCACAGUGGACCCCAUGCAUGUGGGCCAUGCCAUACACACACCAUAGUGGACCCCGUGCAUGUGGGCCAUGCCAUACACACACAACAGUGGAAUCCACGCAUAUGGGCCAUGCCAUACACACCACAAUGGACCCCACACAUGUGGGCCAUGGCCGCGCAUGUGGGCCAUGGCAUAAAACACCACAGAGGACCCCCACACAUGUGGGCCGUGGCAUAGAACACUACAGUGAACCCCAUGCAUGUGUCCCACGUGAUAGUUGGAUGAGUCAAAUCCAUGUCAUACACACCACAGCCCCCAUAAAAAGAACAAAAAUUGAAAAAAUGAAAAAAUAACACGACAUUUCAGUAUAAAUAAAAAUAAAACUCAUUAACAAUGAUUAAAGGGCCAAAACAUACCUUAAAUAGAGAUUUAAUCAACCGAAAAUUGAUUUUUGGGAGCUACGUGUCCGCGUGGCUGCGAAAAGAGGGAUAUGCGAUUUCUCCCUUGUUUGGGCUUCAAUACUCCUGAAAUUCCAGCAAGAUGAUGCUCUUGUAAUUCCGAUUGAACUCCAAAAAUCGGAUUUGAGAAAGGGCUCUUCAAAAUCUUGGAAUCAAAGCUUCAAAAAUGGGGAACCUGCAGCUGCUGCGGCAUUGCAAUAGGGCUGUUCAAAAGCCCUAUUGCGAUUGUUUUAAGUU